ACUGGUCGGAAUCUUUCUCUGUGUGCCAUGUUCAUCACUCCUUUCUGUCUCUUUAUCGUUCUUUGUUAUUAUUGACAAGGGUUUUCUCCUCAGGAAAGUGAUGAAGAUGCCAGAAAAACAAAUGAGCUGAGAGUAGAAACUUCAACAAUAAGCCAUGUAAGACAAGAGUAUUGUUUUCUGUCUCUCUCAAAUUACAAUCUCUAAAGCCUUGUUUCUGUCCCAGACUCAAUGCUCCCCUUCUAGUCUCUUUUUUAAAUGAAUAUUGGGCAUGUGUGUUCUUCCAAGGAUAGUGAUGAAGACAGCCAAACAGAAGAGCAGAGAGCAGAAACUUUUAAUGAAGCACAGGUGAAACGAAACUACAACCAUUACUCUUUUUCUGUCUCUGAAACUACACAACUUUCACAGUCUUAUCUCUUCUUCUUUUUCUGAUGUUUUUGAUGACUAAUGGACUUUUGUUCUUCCUCUAUGGUCCAUCAUGUUCACAAAAGAGCUCUCAGAGCAAUGAUGACGCUGGCAGCCAAACAGAAGUGCAAAGAGCAGACCUUUCCACAUUGGAACAGAAAGAACUUCAGCAUAUUGCUCACCUGUGGAACACCCACAUCAUUCAGAGAAGCAGAAAUGCAGUUGCACCUAGUGGCCGGCCUCACAUGAUGUACAUGCUUCCUCAGCUUUUUGGGGAAAGGACCAUCUCAAACAUGCAUCUGUGCAAGCAGUACAAACAUGCAGAGCACAAUGCAUACAACGAGGACCCUACCCAUGUGAUGAGACUGCCAUCCACUGGAAGGAUAAGAUGUGAUUGAUCCACUGAAGCAGAGGAUGAAUGCUGUAACCAUCACUGCUGUGUUACACAUGGACCAAAGUUUCCUCUCAGCCUGUUGUUAAUAGAAAUGAAACACUUUCUCAUCUGCUUUGCUUCAGUUCAUUUAGGGCCAACAUUGUUGAAUUGAUUGAUCACCACAUUUGACACUACACAGAUAUACAGUAUGUAUGAAUAACGUGCUUCAAGUAGAGAAAAUAAGACAUGAAAGCAUUAGAAAAUGAGUGUUUUUCCUCUUUUUUAAUGUAAUAUCUUUAUGUAGGUCAAACAGUCAAACAUUGUUUUGUGU
rnacentral:lncRNA from 1 species